CCUACGGGAGGCUGCAGUGGGGAAUAUUGGACAAUGGGGGGAACCCUGAUCCAGCGACGCCGCGUGAGUGAAGAAGUAUUUCGGUAUGUAAAGCUCUAUCAGCAGGGAAGAAAGAAAUGACGGUACCUGACUAAGAAGCCCCGGCUAACUACGUGCCAGCAGCCGCGGUAAUACGUAGGGGGCAAGCGUUAUCCGGAUUUACUGGGUGUAAAGGGAGCGUAGACGGUUACGCAAGUCUGGAGUGAAAGGCGGGGGCCCAACCCCCGGACUGCAUUGGAAACUGUAUAACGGGAGUGCAGGAGAGGUAAGUGGAAUUCCUAGUGUAGCGGUGAAAUGCGUAGAGAUUAGGAGGAACACCAGUGGCGAAGGCGGCUUACUGGACUGUAACUGACGUUGAGGCUCGAAAGCGUGGGGAGCAAACAGGAUUAGAUACCCCAGUAGUC
rnacentral:rRNA from 1 species